GUACUCCCUUAGACCGCACAUACACUAAAAUUGAAUUGAUACAGAGAAGAUUAGCAUGGCCCCUGAGGAAAGAUGACAUAGAAAUUUGUGGCACAGUCCAUAUUUUU
rnacentral:snRNA from 1 species